rnacentral:rRNA from 1 species
UAGAGUGCAGUAGGGGAGACUGGAAUUCCUGGUGUAGCGGUGGAAUGCGCAGAUAUCAGGAGGAACACCGAUGGCGAAGGCAGGUCUCUGGGCUGUAACUGACGCUGAGAAGCGAAAGCAUGGGGAGCGAACAGGAUUAGAUACCCUGGUAGUCCAUGCCGUAAACGUUGGGCACUAGGUGUGGGGGACAUUCCACGUUUUCCGCGCCGUAGCUAACGCAUUAAGUGCCCCGCCUGGGGAGUACGGCCGCAAGGCUAAAACCCAAAGAAAUUGACGGGGGCCCGCACAAGCGGCGGAGCAUGCGGAUUAAUUCGAUGCAACGCGAAGAACCUUACCAAGGCUUGACAUAUACUGGACUGCGUCAGAGAUGGCGUUUCCCUUCGGGGCUGGUAUACAGGUGGUGCAUGGUUGUCGUCAGCUCGUGUCGUGAGAUGUUGGGUUAAGUCCCGCAACGAGCGCAACCCUCGUUCUAUGUUGCCAGCACGUGAUGGUGGGGACUCAUAGGAGACUGCCGGGGUCAACUCGGAGGAAGGUGGGGAUGACGUCAAAUCAUCAUGCCCCUUAUGUCUUGGGCUUCACGCAUGCUACAAUGGCCGGUACAGAGGGUUGCGAUACUGUGAGGUGGAGCUAAUCCCUAAAAGCCGGUCUCAGUUCGGAUUGGGGUCUGCAACUCGACCCCAUGAAGUCGGAGUCGCUAGUAAUCGCAGAUCAGCAACGCUGCGGUGAAUACGUUCCCGGGCCUUGUACACACCGCCCGUCAAGUCACGAAAGUUGGUAACACCCGAAGCCGGUGGCCUAACCCUGGUGGGGGGAGCCGUCGAAGGUGGGACUGGCGAUUGGGACUAAGUCGUAACAAGGUAGCCGUACCGGAAGG